rnacentral:SRP_RNA from 1 species
GCCAGGCGUCGUGACUCACACCUCUAUUCCCACCUACUUGGGAGGCUGAGGCAAGAGGAUCCCUUGAGCCCAAUAGUUCUAGGCUACAGCUCUGGGCUAUGCCAAGCAGAUGUCUACACCAAGUUCAGCAUUUAUAUGAUGACCUCCCAGAAGCAGGAGGACUACCAGGUUGCCUAAGGAGGGAUAAACCCGCCCAGGUUACAAAAAAAAAAAAAAAAAAAAAAAAAAAAAAAAAAAGGAGCAGGUCACCACUCCUGUGCUGAUCAGUAGUGGGAUUGCACCUAUGAAAACCACUGCACUUCAGCCUAGGCAACAUAGCAAGGCACCAUCUUCGU